GAAGUACUCCCUCCGCCCGAAAAUACUUGUCAUCAAAAUGGAUGAAAAAAGAUAUAUCUAGAACUAAAAUAUAUCUAAAUACAUCCCUUUUUAUCCAUUUUGAUGACAAGUAUUUCCGGACGGAGGGAGUAUAUG
rfam:Triticum urartu cultivar G1812 contig198649, whole genome shotgun sequence.